rnacentral:rRNA from 1 species
GGGUUGUGAGGUUAAGCGACUAAGCGUACACGGUGGAUGCCCUGGCAGUCAGAGGCGAUGAAGGACGUGCUAAUCUGCGAAAAGCGUCGGUAAGGUGAUAUGAACCGUUACAGCCGGCGAUGUCCGAAUGGGGAAACCCAGUGCAAUUCGUUGCACUAUCGUUAACUGAAUACAUAGGUUAACGAGGCGAACCGGGGGAACUGAAACAUCUAAGUACCCCGAGGAAAAGAAAUCAACCGAGAUUCCCCCAGUAGCGGCGAGCGAACGGGGAGCAGCCCAGAGUCUGAAUCAGCUUGUGUGUUAGUGGAACGGUCUGGAAAGUCCGACGGUACAGGGUGAUAGUCCCGUACACCAAAAUGCACAGGUUGUGAACUCGAAGAGUAGGGCGGGACACGUGGUAUCCUGUCUGAAUAUGGGGACCAUCCUCCAAGGCUAAAUACUCCUGACUGACCGAUAGUGAACCAGUACCGUGAGGGAAAGGCGAAAAGAACCCCGGCGAGGGGAGUGAAAAAGAACCUGAAACCGUGUACGUACAAGCAGUGGGAGCACCUUCGGGUGUGACUGCGUACCUUUUGUAUAAUGGGUCAGCGACUUAUAUUCUGUAGCAAGGUUAACCGUAUAGGGGAGCCGCAGGGAAACCGAGUCUUAACUGGGCGUUAAGUUGCAGGGUAUAGACCCGAAACCCGGUGAUCUAGCCAUGGGCAGGUUGAAGGUUGGGUAACACUAACUGGAGGACCGAACCGACUAAUGUUGAAAAAUUAGCGGAUGACUUGUGGCUGGGGGUGAAAGGCCAAUCAAACCGGGAGAUAGCUGGUUCUCCCCGAAAGCUAUUUAGGUAGCGCCUCGUGAACUCAUCUUCGGGGGUAGAGCACUGUUUCGGCUAGGGGGUCAUCCCGACUUACCAACCCGAUGCAAACUACGAAUACCGAAGAAUGUUAUCACGGGAGACACACGGCGGGUGCUAACGUCCGUCGUGAAGAGGGAAACAACCCAGACCGCCAGCUAAGGUCCCAAAGUCAUGGUUAAGUGGGAAACGAUGUGGGAAGGCACAGACAGCCAGGAUGUUGGCUUAGAAGCAGCCAUCAUUUAAAGAAAGCGUAAUAGCUCACUGGUCGAGUCGGCCUGCGCGGAAGAUGUAACGGGGCUAAACCAUGCACCGAAGCUGCGGCAGCGACACUAUGUGUUGUUGGGUAGGGGAGCGUUCUGUAAGCCUGCGAAGGUGUGCUGUGAGGCAUGCUGGAGGUAUCAGAAGUGCGAAUGCUGACAUAAGUAACGAUAAAGCGGGUGAAAAGCCCGCUCGCCGGAAGACCAAGGGUUCCUGUCCAACGUUAAUCGGGGCAGGGUGAGUCGACCCCUAAGGCGAGGCCGAAAGGCGUAGUCGAUGGGAAACAGGUUAAUAUUCCUGUACUUGGUGUUACUGCGAAGGGGGGACGGAGAAGGCUAUGUUAGCCGGGCGACGGUUGUCCCGGUUUAAGCAUGUAGGCUGGUUAUCCAGGCAAAUCCGGAUAAUCAAGGCUGAGGUGUGAUGACGAGGCACUACGGUGCUGAAGUAACAAAUGCCCUGCUUCCAGGAAAAGCCUCUAAGCAUCAGGUAACAUCAAAUCGUACCCCAAACCGACACAGGUGGUCAGGUAGAGAAUACCAAGGCGCUUGAGAGAACUCGGGUGAAGGAACUAGGCAAAAUGGUGCCGUAACUUCGGGAGAAGGCACGCUGGUGUGUAGGUGAAGUCCCUGCGGAUGGAGCUGAGACCAGUCGAAGAUACCAGCUGGCUGCAACUGUUUAUUAAAACACAGCACUGUGCAAACACGAAAGUGGACGUAUACGGUGUGACGCCUGCCCGGUGCCGGAAGGUUAAUUGAUGGGGUUAUCCGUAAGGAGAAGCUCUUGAUCGAAGCCCCGGUAAACGGCGGCCGUAACUAUAACGGUCCUAAGGUAGCGAAAUUCCUUGUCGGGUAAGUUCCGACCUGCACGAAUGGCGUAAUGAUGGCGGGCUGUCUCCACCCGAGACUCAGUGAAAUUGAACUCGCUGUGAAGAUGCAGUGUACCCGCGGCAAGACGGAAAGACCCCGUGAACCUUUACUAUAGCUUGACACUGAACAUUGAGCCUUGAUGUGUAGGAUAGGUGGGAGGCUUUGAAGCGUGGACGCCAGUCUGCGUGGAGCCAACCUUGAAAUACCACCCUUUAAUGUUUGAUGUUCUAACGUUGGCCCCUGACCGGGGUUGCGGACAGUGUCUGGUGGGUAGUUUGACUGGGGCGGUCUCCUCCCAAAGCGUAACGGAGGAGCACGAAGGUUAGCUAAUCUGGUCGGACAUCAGGAGGUUAGUGCAAUGGCAUAAGCUAGCUUGACUGCGAGCGUGACGGCGCGAGCAGGUGCGAAAGCAGGUCAUAGUGAUCCGGUGGUUCUGAAUGGAAGGGCCAUCGCUCAACGGAUAAAAGGUACUCCGGGGAUAACAGGCUGAUACCGCCCAAGAGUUCAUAUCGACGGCGGUGUUUGGCACCUCGAUGUCGGCUCAUCACAUCCCGGGCUGAAGUAGGUCCCAAGGGUAUGGCUGUUCGCCAUUUAAAGUGGUACGCGAGCUGGGUUUAGAACGUCGUGAGACAGUUCGGUCCCUAUCUGCCGUGGGCGCUGGAGAAUUGAGGGGGGCUGCUCCUAGUACGAGAGGACCGGAGUGGACGCAUCACUGGUGUUCGGGUUGUCAUGCCAAUGGCACUGCCCGGUAGCUAAAUGCGGAAGAGAUAAGUGCUGAAAGCAUCUAAGCACGAAACUUGCCCCGAGAUGAGUUCUCCCUGAGACUAUAAGUCUCCUGAAGGAACGUUAAAGACGAUGACGUUGAUAGGCCGGGUGUGUAAGCGCAGCGAUGCGUUGAGCUAACCGGUACUAAUGAACCGUGAGGCUUAACCUUACAACGCCGAAG